CCGUAAUGAUGCUUUGCCAUGCUAAUACUGAGAGAUCAGUUUUUUGGAUUUCAAUGAGUUAAACUUACAAAUGUCACUGAACAUU